ensembl:lncRNA uncharacterized LOC114445951
AGAGGGGUGAGAGCCUGUUGCAGUAAUCACUGUGCUGUCCUCGGAUUGGCUGCCUGCUGAUGCUUUAUAACGGGACAGAGAGAAGGAGGGUGCAUUCAGCAGCAGCAGCCAGGAGCAUCAGCUGCAUCAAGGCCUGAACCAUGGGGAAUGCUCACACCAUCUUCAAUGAGACUCAGUACAGGUGGUACUACCGUACUCACUGGAGAGAAGACACUGAUCGGACCCUUCCUGCUAAUGGCUCUGGAGAGUACCUGAAUACAAUGAUUCCAUUUGUCAAAGUCUACCUGAGAUUCAGAGAUCACACUGACUGGGACCUCAAAUGUGAGGGCGGCGGUCCUUCAUACACCUUAAGAGAGAGUGCCGACCACAAACAGUUUGAACUGGUCAAUAAUUUUUCUGGUUUCAUAGUUGACCGCUGUCCCAACUUUGGCAAACUUGAAGAGGAGGAACAAGAGAAUGAAAGACAGAGGCUGGAGAGGGAAAAACGUCAAAAGGAGGAGAAACAGCAGAAAGAAGAGGAGGAGAAGAGGCGGAAAGAAGAGGAGGAGAAGAGGCGGCUGGCAGAGCUAGAGCAAGAGAGGAAGAUCCAAGAGCAGAUCAAUCAGGAGAAUGAGGCAUCCAGAAGAAAGCUGUCCGAAGCGCACCAGAGAUUUGAGGAAGACCUGCGAAGUCAGCAGCACCGCCAGCAGCAGUACACCCAGGUCCUGCACCAGGUGGUGGAAAACCAUGCAGCCAAAAUAGAGAGGGACGAGCUCAAUGAUGUGCGUCGGAAAUUUGAAGAACUUCUCUCAAACUACCACAUCGUGGAGAAAGCAGAUUCAAAGUGCAACCUCGAAAACCGGAUGAAGACUCUGCAAAAUGAGCUGGUAUUAAAUUAUUUCGGAAAGCACAGGAUCCCACUGUGGUGCCAGCUUGCUGUGGACCGGGCGACUGGAUACUUGGACCUGUCUCCUACAGAGAGGCUCAGUGUUGUGGAAGCGGUGGUGAAGGUAACUGUGGACUGUGACCCUGACCUUGAGGAUGUCCUCAUAACUGAACAAGACAAGAAAAUCGUAUUCCUUCUGAGUUUGCAAGAACAGCUUUAUGAUGAAAAUCCAACUUUGGCUAGAACAGUUUUAGUAAAUGUUCUCGACAUGACUUCACAGCUGACAUCGACCAGUAAGGAGCUCCUCAGUCAAAUACUCUUCAACAACAUCUGGACUCCAAAAGAAAUCAAGCUUUUCAUUAGAAGAGCCUUAAGCAUGGAUCAGAACAACGUUUUCAAGAUCCUGCACAAAGUGUGCACCUACAGGCUGAGCUUCCUCCACACUCUCACUGCACUGAAAAAAAAACACCACGUGCAGUAUUUACAAGACUGUGUAAGCUACGAGCUGGACAAAGACCCUGACACUAUUUUGAGUGAAAUGCAGGACAAGAACUAUCCGAAGCACACCCUGUCCCUGCUGGAGGACAUACUGAUGUAUAUGGAAGACAAGUUGCCUGAACUUCAAGGUGUGGUCAUUGAUGCCGAGAUGAUUGAAGAAGGGAAACGAAUGAUGAUCUUGCUUGAUUUGGCCGAACCGGACGUUGAUACUCUAAAGAAAGUCCUCAUUGUCCUGUCUUUAGCUGUUAAGGAAUGCACCACAUUCAUCGCUCCGAACGGCAAUCAAAUACAAGGCUACUUCCCCAGACUCACACAGCUGGCUUCUUUGCUUUUACUCCUGCGGGAUAAAAGAGGCUGCCUCCUGGAAAUCAGCACUGGAGAGGGCAAGACUUGUAUUUUAGCCAUGUUUGCUACCAUCCAGGCCGCCCGCGGAACAAUGGUAGACAUCGUCACCAGCUCUCCUUUGCUCGCAAUCCGUGACCAAGACAAGUGGAGUCAGUUAUAUCAAAUGUUUGGUGUGACAUCAUCCAUUGUUCCUCCAGCACAUUUCCAUACGUGCACCCCUGAAAAUCAGGACAAGUUGUUACAGGAUGCAUACACCAAGCAUGUGGUGUACAGCACCGCCAGUACUUUCGCACCAGAUAUUUUGAGACAAGAGUUUGAGAAAAAAACUACUCGAGGAAGGAGGAAGUUUGAAUGUGUGCUGGUGGAUGAAGUGGACUACAUGACGCUCGACAGUGGAGUUCAAACGACAUUUCUGUCACAUCAAGCCAGCGGCUUGAGGCACAUGGAGCAAAUCCUGGCUAGUAUCUGGGCCCUUCUGUGCACCUGCCGGCCAAUAGAAGUGUCUGAAACAGGGGAGAUUCAGUGGGGAACCAGGGCCCAGCACUUCCACGAGGCUGCGACGCAGUCUGUGGUCAGCUUUGAAGACUGUUCAGCAGACAGCAUACUGAUGCUGGGUGUCCAGCUGGGGUUUUAUUCCCAGGAAGACAUGGACAGAUUAACUGAUGCAAAGACCCAAACAGGCACUGACAGCUGUGAGGAUGCCAUGCGGAAAGCCACUGAGAAAAUCAUGGACAAGAUGGGACCUAAAGAACAGUAUGAGCUGCUGAGUAAAGUCCAGACCACAGCAGACAACGAUGUGACUGUGGACUAUUACUCUGUGAU